UACGAAGGGGGCUAGCGUUGCUCGGAAUCACUGGGCGUAAAGGGUGCGUAGGCGGGUCUUUUAAGUCAGGGGUGAAAUCCUGGAGCUCAACUCCGGAACUGCCUUUGAUACUGAAGAUCUUGAGUUCGGGAGAGGUGAGUGGAACUGCGAGUGUAGAGGUGAAAUUCGUAGAUAUUCGCAAGAACACCAGUGGCGAAGGCGGCUCACUGGCCCGAUACUGACGCUGAGGCACGAAAGCGUGGGGAGCAAACAGG
rnacentral:rRNA from 1 species